rnacentral:tRNA from 1 species
GAGGGUAUAGCUCAGAGGUAGAGUGUGUGCUUAGCACGCACAAGGUCCUGGGUUCAGUCCCCGGUACCUCUG